UUUCCGUUGGUGAACCAGCGGAGGGAUCAUUACAGGACUCGCAAGACUCCUACAACCCUGUGAACUUAACUAUAAGCACGUUGCUUCGGCGGGUGUCUCGGAGGGGGUUCUCCCUCCCCGAGACGCUAAACCCGCCGGCAGCCUACUAUACUCUGUCUCUUUGCGUUGGCAUCUCGAGUACAAUCAAACAAGUUAAAACUUUCAACAACGGAUCUCUUGGUUCUG
rnacentral:misc_RNA from 1 species